UUUUGAGAGACUCUAGUCACGUUCAUCCCGCUAGUCAGUUUCGGGUUAGCACUCCACCAAUCAGAUUGUUCAUUUGAGUCCGACUGCCGGCAGAGCCCGCCUUCCGACCGAGCAUGUCAAGUCGGCCAAAAUGAAGGCCGCCGGCCCCUCCGACGGACGACGGCACGGAGCACACCGAACAGACUCGAGUCACCGACCUCGUCAGACUGUCGGCCGUCGGACGAUUAUCGGCUCGGGCUUAAAGCA